UACUUAGUGGCGGACGGGGGAGUAACGCGUGGAUAACCUGCCUUAUACAGGGGAUAACGGAGAGAAAUUUCCGCUAAGACCGCAUAAGACCACAGCACCGCAUGGUGCAGGGUAAAAUAUUUAUAGGUAUAAGAUGGAUCCGCGUCCGAUUAGCUAGUUGGUGAGGUAAAGGCCCACCAAGGCGACGAUCGGUAGCCGGCCUGAGAGGGCGAACCGGCCACAUUGGGACUGAGACACGGCCCAA
rnacentral:rRNA from 1 species